UUGUACUGAGCUUUCCCAUCUUCUUCCAAGUGGAUGGAUGAUAUCCUCCGAUGACCAUUAAUGACCGGAGAGGAGUUCUAGGUCCCUAUAUGUAGGAUCUGUUUUUAGACCAGCUGUGAUAAAUAUAGUCCUUGUAAUUUUUCUUUUCUUCUUAAUAUGAAAAAAUACAGACUCUUGCUCUUCCUUUUCUCUCUAGAAAAACACAGAUUUCUUCAAACCUUUUAUUCAAAGUUUCAAUCUUUAUCAACCUCAACCAACAUGCCUGGUACCAUUUCAAACAUUAUCUUCACUCAAUGAACAUUACUAUCAUCAUGGUUGCUGGUGAUAACUGGGCUACAGCAGCAGCCAUCGCAAAGGAGGUUGGCAUUGAUAAGGUGUACGCUGAGACGGAUCCACUGGGAAAAGCUGAUAGAAUCAAAGAAUUGCAGAUGAAAGGAAUGUCACGAAUUUGAUUGAAUUAUGUCUGGGCCCUGGGCUACAAUAUCCUCGGCAUGCCAGUCGUAGCUGGAGUCUUGUUCCCUUUCACUGGAAUUCGACUACAACCGUGGCUUGCCGGUGCAUGUAUGGCUGCUUCAUCUCUCAGCGUGGUAUAUUCUUCUCUUUUGUUGCAGUCAUAUAAGAAGCCUUUGUAUAUUCAGAGCGUCUCCAACGGCAAGUUUACGUGACGGUGUACGCACGUCUGACUAGUUUUCAACCUCUGGUUGUUGCUUCCCUUCUUCGUUGUUGAAGCAAUGAAUUUGUACAUGCGAUCGUGAUUAAUAAUUUAGAAGCAUAAGACCCUGAUUCUUC